AACCGCCAGUGGAAAUCGAUUUUCACUGGCGGUCGGCGUAAUAAAACCGCCAGUGGAAAUCGAUUUUCACUGGCGGUC
rnacentral:pre_miRNA from 7 species